rnacentral:rRNA from 1 species
UACAGAGGUCUCAAGCGUUGUUCGGAUUCAUUGGGCGUAAGGGUGCGUAGGUGGCGUGGUAAGUCUGGUGUGAAAUCCCGGGGCUCAACCCCGGAACUGCACUGGAUACUGCCAUGCUUGAGUACUGGAGAGGAGAUUGGAAUUUACGGUGUAGCAGUGAAAUGCGUAGAUAUCGUAAGGAAGACCAGUGGCGAAGGCGGCCCACUGGUCCGGUACUGACGCUGAGGUGCGAAAGCGUGGGGAGCAAACAGG